CCAUUUUUAUGGCAUUGUUCAAUUUCCCUUCCUUUUCUAACGUUCAGUUUUAACGCUUCUAAUCAGUAUUUCCCCCUCAUCCUAUUUUUAUUCUUUAUCGUCCUAGAAACAAAAUGUCAAGAGUGAAAAAUAAAUGGAAACAUUUAAUAUAUGUUAAUAUAUAAUUUAACAAUAUAUAAAAGCCAUACAAGAGGACUGAAUUACUGAAGUUAUUAUGGGGAAGUUUCAAGGGCUCUCUUGCAAGCCCCAUUAACAAUUUAUAGCAUGUACAUUAACAAUCUACACAUGUUCCUGGGUGUGCAAGAGGGUAGGAGCCCCCCAGCAACAUGGGAGGAGCAUCCAGCUCCACUGCUGUUUUUCCCGAGACUCAGAGAUGUUUUGGGAGGUACAAAAUAUGCUUGCAUUUGAGAUAGUAACACAACUAGAGGCAGAAAAUAUAAAUAAGGCACCUUUAACGACUGCUGCAUGAGCAAAUCAGACACUUAAGUACAGCAAUUAGAUUUCUGUCAAUAGUUCCUUCUCCUGAUGCAAGAGUUGUCCUGUAAGCUGCACCCAAAAGCAAGCAAAUUUGGCUUUAAAUCUUUACUUCUGAAAAUUAAUCACAAAAUGGGUUAUUUUAGGUGCAUCAAAUCUUGAUUCCUUAUGGGCAUGAAUAAUUUGCACUCAUGGAAACCAUAGGAGCCUACUUUUCUUCAGCUUUCAAGUAAUUAAAAGUGAAACUAUUCAGAUAGUUGCAUGCAAUGGAUUUGCUGUUCCCUCACUUACAUUGCUAUGCCCAGUUAUACAUUACCCAUCCAAGGAUUAUAUAUUUCAUAUACAUAAUUGCUUUUGAUCCUGUGGUGGAAAUAAAUUUCAUAAGACAGCCAAACUUCUCUUAACCACGUAUACAUCUGCUGUCUCCCCAAAGCUUGCUGACAGUUAAUUCGCUUCACAUAUCCCAUGGCUGCGCAAGGGGUAGUAUUCCCAGUGCCCUUGCAAGGUUACAGACUGCUUCCACCCCACACGACUAAAUCAAAGCAUUCCAAAAAACCAAAGGGACAGUCAAGUCUCUGGAAUUUCAAAGCAAACAUUUCUGCAUGUCUGGUGCUUCAACUUCUGCCAAGUAAUUUCUCCUGGUAAUCACGUGUCUGCUUUAGCACACCCGCCUUGCUCCUGACAUCCAUUUCACUGGCAAAGCAGGGGCCUCGCUUCUGGUCUGACCCAUGCCUGGUGAAGGCUGCUAAGGUCAACAGAGCUACACAGGUAGCAGAGAAGAAAGAGAUCCAGAUCUGUCUUUGGGUACAUGGCUAUUGUAUUGUAGUAAAAGAGUUUGGCCUGUUCAGGAGUGUACCUGCCACAUGAAGGUGUGCUGCUGCCAAUGAGGGGCCUGGUGGGCCUGCAGGCAGCCCAUGCCAGAAAACACACAUAUCCUAACAGAGGAUAAAUAUAAAAUAUAUCAAAUACAGAUUUUCACUCAGCAAAACGCCCUGCCCAAAAAACGCUAGAGCUCUAGGCGAGUGAUAAUCAUGCACAUUAAUAUAAUCAACAUAAUCAGCAUUUAAUUUACCAACAGCAAAGCCUCACAAAGUGUUGCCCUGUCCAUAGGCUGAUCUAGCAUGGGAUCGUGCUGCACUCUGAGCCUCCAGCUUGCACCAACCCACUGACUCACAGCCAUGCUGGCUGAAGCAGAAGAUCAGACUGGAAGCUUCAAGGGUUAAGCAGAAAGGAUAAGCAGAAAGGCUUGCCAAACCGUGCCUAAAGGUGGGUGUGGUGGUCAGUCUCAGUCUCAGAUGCUUCUGACUCAAUCACACACUCUCCCAGGCCAUCUCUGGGAUGCUACCUGUGAUGAGCAUGGGAUGGAGAUGCAUUAUCACGCAGUUCUCCUUCCAGGCAUGAUAAUAGUCCCUGUGGAUCUGCCAGUACCUAUAGGAAGCCAACAAGAACUGGUAGCUCCUGAUGAAGCUGCCAUGGGUGGGAUUUCCAAAGCAAUGGCUCUCUGGAACCUCCCCUAUGUUCCCAUCCACCACUCCCCUGGCUCAGCCGGGAUUAAGAGCAGUCUUUCAUUCUCUGCUGGUACUGCCCCAAACAGAGCCUUCAAGUUCAGAGCCACUUUUUCAUAAGAGAUAUACAUCUAAAAAAGACUCCUUAAGAAUCAAUGUAAAUUUUUAUUUUGUUUUGUUUUGUUUAAAUAUGGAGUCUGCACACAACAACAGAGAGAAUUGCCAGAAAAGAAGAAAUGAAGGAAAGGAAGUAGGUCCAAGCCUGACACCAGGGACCUGGACUCCACUCACCACAAAACCUAAGGACAGGCUUCUUUAAUUGGAUCAUCUCCCAGUUUCUUGGGGAACCCUUUGUUGGAGUGAUUCCUGGGGAUAUAGCCCCUGUCCAUGAAAUUGAGAACUGCUAAAUUUAAUACAGGACUGGCUAAGGAUAUGAUUCUUUGUUUGUAGUAGAAAUCCUGUUUUACUGGCAGCUACAUUUAAGGAAACUUGUAACAAAUACAUUUACUUGUAUAUCCAUA